rnacentral:ncRNA from 1 species
UGUGACAAAGGCAAACUUGUCGAAAGGCAAGGACGCAAAGCCAUAGGGCCUUCUUCGUUCCCCGUCAUGCGGAGGGCGAAGGUGGCAGCCGUGCUGCCGGAA